rnacentral:tRNA from 1 species
GCACUCUUAGCUCAGUGGAUAGAGCGCUCGGCUCCGGACCGAGAGGUCACAGGUUCGAUUCCUGUAGAGCGCA